rnacentral:lncRNA from 1 species
GAUCUUAGAGGAAAAGCUUUCAUCUUUUCACUGUUGAAUAUGAUGUUAACUGUGGGUUUGUCAUAAAUAACUUUUAUUAUGUUGAGGUACGUCCCCUCUGUACCCACUUUGUUGGGUUUUUAUCAUUAAUAGAUGUUGAAUUUUUUUUCUGCGUUGAGAUGAUUAUUUGAUUUGGUUUUUUAUCUUUCAAAAAUGUGGUACCUGCUGCAGAUGGAAGUUCCCAGGCUAGGGGUCAAAUCUGAGCUACAGCUGCUGGCCUAUACCACAGCCACAGCAGUGUGGCAUCUGAGCUAUAUCUGUGACCCACACCACAGCUCAUGGCAACACCAUGUGUGCUAGUCGGUGGCUUUUUAAAUUUUUUUGGUACUUCAAAAAAGGUGCUUUAAGGAUUCUGCAGAAAAGCAAGUAUUUUAUAUGUUAGCAUUAUGUUUUGAUUUGAAAACAUAAUACUUUUUACAUGGAAACAUUGUUAUGUUAAUAUUCAAAUGCUUUUUUUCUUUUUUCACUUUUGGCUGCACCCCACAGCAUGCGGAAGUUCCCUCUUGAGCUACAGCAACAACCUGAGCCGCAGUGGUGACAAAACCAGAUUCUUAAUUCCUGUACCACAAGGGAACCCUUUUAAAGUAGCUUACUUUAUUAAGUCCCUUCUUGGUAAAGACUUGCUGAAGAUUUCCAAGUUAGUUCACUUGGGAUGGGCAUUUGAGUGAACCUGCUGCCUACCAAUCUUGUGUGCAUUUGUAUCAUUAGUUUUGAAUUUUGUAUUUUUCAAUGUUAUUUUCUUAUCUGGUUCCUCAUUUAAAAUAUUUUUUUAUUUUUGUGUCUUUUUUGUUUUUAGGGCCACACCUUUGGCGUAUGGAAUUUCUCAGGCUAGGGGUCAAAUAGGAGCUGUAACUGAUGGCCUACGCCACAGCCACACCAGAUCCAAGCCAAGUCUGCAAACUACACCACAGCUCAUGGCAACACCGUAAACUUAACCCACUGAGUGAGGCCAGGGAUCGAACCUGUGUCCUUACAGAUACUAGUCAGAUUCAUUUCCACUGAGCCACAAUGGGAACUCCCCCCAAUUUUUAUUUUUAAUGUCAGUUACAUCCCAUUUGUGAAUAUUUAUAUGUAUGUGUGUAUAUAUAUGUGUGUGUGUCUUGUAUUACUUGGAGUAUGAUUUAGUAUAAAUCUUUGGUCCACGUAGAUAUAUUUUACUAAUCACUCAUUAAUUUACUUUUUUUUGGUGUUCACGCCAAAGGACAAGGUAUUCACUCUCUCCCUUCCCCAAAUACUAAAUAAAUUAGUGACAAUUUAGUUUAAAGGAAAACUUUAUUGACAUUUUUGUGCUCAAUAUUCCUUUCUCCUAGAUCUAUUUUCUCUUUAGUCAAUGACCUUGCUUUUGUUUAUAGCACAGUUACCAAGGAUUCACCUUGGACCUUGAAUUAAUGCUUCAGAAAAAUCUUUCUCCUGAUCCCUUUAGGUCUUUUGAAGAAGCCAAUCCAGUGUGAAUGAAAUAAACUGGAAGCCUAAACUUUUUUGAUAAAGGUUAAAUUAUGUAUUUUCUAUGUCUUUCUGAGAGUAGUUGGGUGCCCAGGAAGGAAUUUUGUCAAACUGGGGAGGAGACGUUUGAAGGCAGUGUUAGUCAUUGAACCGUGUAGUUCAUAGUGUUUCUGUUUUAUAGAGGCUCAAGGAGAAUUUGGAUGAGUUGUUCAUGAUCACAAUAGCCAGAAGCAGAAGGUGAACAUAGUGUUUUGCUCAACUGUAGAACCAUGAGUUUCUCCUCAAAAUCUACCAGUUCCCUGUAUUCUUUUGCUCAUGGCCCCUUCAUAUGCCUAUUGAAUUUGAGCUAUUCAAAAUUUCAGGCAUGGGUAGAAUAAAUUGUUUCAAGUUAAAAAGGGGACAGGGAGUUCCCUCAUGGCAACGCUGGAUCCUUAACCCACUCAGCGAGGCCAGGGAUCAAACCCACAAUUUCAUGGUUCCUAGUCGGAUUCGUUGAACACUGAGCCACGAUGGGAACUCCACCUUUUCCUUUUUAAAGUCUCUGACCUGGGGAUCAUAUUACCUUCCUUUGAACUUUCAAUCAGUUGAAAUCUGGUUAUUUUCCUUCCAUUAAUUCAUUUCUUUUCCAAAGAGAAAUUUUGCUUUAAACACUUUGUUUCCAUGAGUUCCCUCAUGGCCUAGGAGUUAAGAAUUUGGUGUUGUCACUGCUGCAGCUCAGUUUAGAUCCAUGGCUUUGGCAAAUUCCACAUGCUGUGGGCAGGGCCAAAAAAAGAAUUUCUUUUCAAUCUAUUAAGACACUCAAUUCGGAAUUCUUUUUUAAAUUUUUUUAUAUAAUUUUUAUUUUUUUUCAUUAUAGCUGGUUUACAGUGUUCUGUCAAUUUUCUGAUGUACAACAUGGUGACCCAGUUACACAUACGUGUAUAGAUUCUUUUUUCUCACAUUAUCAUGCUCUAUCUUAAGUGACUAGAUAUAGUUCCCAGUGCUACAGAGUAGGAUCUCAUUGCAUAUCCAUUCCAAAAAAAUACAGAACGCUUCACAAAUUUGCAUGCCAUUCUUGCGCAGGGGCCAUGCUAAUCUUCUUGUAUCGUUCCAAUUUUAGUAUAUGUGUUACCGAAACGAGCAUGAUUAUUUUUAAUAUUUUAGUGGAGUUAGGAAUCUAGGGCACAUGAUUUACUACCAUAUUUUCUAUGUAAUAUCGAGACCCUUAAUAUUAAGAAUAUCCAACUUUGGAGUUCCCAUCGUGGCGCAGUGGUUAACGAAUCUGACUAGGAACCAUGAGGUUGCGGGUUUGAUCCCUGCCCUUGCUCAGUGGGUUAUCGAUCCGGUGUUUCCCAGAGCUGUGGUGUAGGUCGCAGAUGUGCGGCUCGGAUCCAGCGUUGCUGUGGCUCUGGCGUAGGCUGGCAGCUACAGCUCUGAUUAGACCCCUAGCCUGGGAACCUCCUUAUGCUGCAGGAGUGGCCCAAGAAAUGGCAAAAGGACAAAAAAAUAAAGUAAGAAUAUCCAACUUUAUUUUUAUUAUCAGAUGCCAAUUUAUCUGUUUUGAUUUUGUCUGAUAUACAUUUUCCCCCCUUUUAAAAUAUUUUUUUAAUUUAUUUUUUCCCACUGUACAGGAAGGGGAUCAAGUUAUCCUUACAUGUAUACAUUUUUUCCCCCACCCUUUGCUCUGUUGCAAUAUGAGUAUCUAGACAUAGUUCUCAAUGCUAUUUAGCAGGAUCUCCUUGUAAAUCUAUUCUAAGUUGUGUCUGAUAACCCCAAGCUCCCUUCAUUUGUGCUGGAUAUUAGAUUCCAGUUAUAAGUGAUAUCAUAUGGUAUUUGUCUUUGUCUUUCUGACUCAUUUCACUCAGUAUGAGAUUCUCUAGUUCCAUCCAUGUUGCCACAAAUGGCAUUAUGGCAUUCUUUUUUAUGGCUGAGUAGUAUUCCAUUGUGUAUAUAUACCAAAUCUUCCUAAUCCAAUCAUCUGUUGAUGGACAUUGGGUUUUUUCCAUGUCCUGGCUAUUGUGAAUAGUGCUGCAAUGAACAUGCGGGGUGCAUGUGUCUCUUUUAAGUAGAGUUUUGUCUGGAUAUAUGCCCAAAAGUGGGAUUGCGGGGUCAUAUGGAAGUUCUGUGUGUAGAUUUCUAAGGUAUUUCGGAAUUCUUUUCAAUUGUAUUCUAAUAAUCUGAUAACCUGCUUUAGGAGAUUUUUAUUACCAACAAUAUGAAAUAUUUUCACUGUUUUCUAAUAUUGAAUCUCUAAAUCUGUUUGUAUCUUUUGCUUCUGUAGUAAAAUUGCCAGUUUUGCUUCUUUGGUUAAACCUUUAGCAGAGAUUUGAACAUAGGAAGAUUUACCUUAUCAACUUUCUUCCACCGUAAAAAUGGAGACAGUCAUCUUUUUUAUAGGAAAAGAUGAUUCAUAAGUAGAGAUACUUGAUAAACUUAGAACUUGAGUGUUAUUUUUGAAAACUAUAUGUACUGUUCUUUUGAUAUAUACCAGUUUCUUCAGACAUGGAUAGAACAAAUUCCUUAGCCUGGAAAUCAAUACAGUUUUCCACUAGUCUCCAUUUUACACUCUACAACCUAAUUUUAGUCAAUUGUUUGAAAUUCUUUCCACAUACUCUGCACUUAUUCUCGUGUCUUUUCUUUUUAGUGCCUCUGCUUUGAAUGCCUUUACCAUACCUUUUUUUUUGCUGAAAUUUUAUUCACUUUUAAAGCUACAGCUCAACAAUGUGAGUUGAAUAGCUAUGUUAGAUAUGUUUUGCUUGUGGUAUAUACAUGAACGAAACAGACAAAAAUCUGUGCCUUCAUGAAGCUUAUAUUCUGCUUGAUCCCCAAGCAGAAUUUACUCCUUUUUUUUUUUUUUUUUUUUUGCUUUUUAGGGCCAAGCUCACAGCAUAUGGAUAUUCCCAGGCUCGGAGUCCGAUCAGAGCUACAUGUGCCGGCCUAUACCACAGCCACAGCAACAUCAGAUCUGAGCCGAGUCUGACCUGCACCAUAGCUCAUGGCAAUGCUGGAUCCUUAAUCCACUGAGCGAGGCCAGGGAUUGAACCCACAACCUCAUGGUUCCUAGUAGGAUUUGUUCUGCUGUGCCAUGACAGGAACUCUAGAAUUUACUGCUUCUAUAGUAGUUUGUUUAAACCUCUAUCAGAGCAUUACAAUUAAAUUGUUUAAAUCUCUUUCUCAAUUAGUUGUCAACACUCCCUGCUCAACAGAAUCACCUGGGAAAUUUUGGAAAAACAAUUAAUACCUUAGGUCCCAUCUCCCGAGAUUUUGAUUUAUUAACAUGAUUCUACCAUGUAGCCAAGGUUAAGAACCACUGCACCGGGACCAACUAUGAAAUUUUGAGGGUUGUGGUUGUGCUACAUGCCUGGUAUUGCCUUACACCUAACACAUGGGGGCAAUCAAUAACUAUUUGUUGACCUUUUUUUGUGGAAGCAGUAAGAAAUGAUCCUGGCCCUUCCUUAACUGAGCUAUUAAGACAUUGAGAUGGAUAGUCUCCAAAGGGCCUUUGAGAAAUUGGGUUCAUGACAGGUAAUUAUUAAGAUGCAUAAUCCGGAGUUCCCGUCGUGGCGCAGUGGUUAACGAAUCUGACUAGGAACCAUGAGGUUGCGGGUUCGGUCCCUGCCCUUGCUCAGUGGGUUAACAAUCCGGCGUUACCGUGAGCUGUGGUGUAGGUUGCA